CCAUCUUCAGCUAUCUUCAGCUUCCACAUGCUUAAAUCUAACGAUUAUUAUGUCACUGGUGAAUUUAAAUACACUCAAACAUUAACUCAUCAAAACUACGAAGAAAAAUGUUAUAUUAUUAUUAUUCAAGAUUUCAUGUAAUAUCUAUAAAUGAAAUUAAAGAAUGAAGCUAAACAUAUAUGUACCAGGAGAAAAAAAGAGCCUUCAAUUAAAAUUAGACAGAACACCGAGAAAAUAAUUAAUGCUCAAAAACAAAAACAGCUAAAGACAUAUGAAUACGUGUGAUUAUAUCAUUCUAACAUAUAACAUCCGUACAAUUAGUAGUUGGGUGUUUAAUUAAGAGGUAUAAAUUCCUGUAUAUGUAGGUAAGUAUUAUAAAUCUUAGAUCUCUUAAAAAUAAAAUUUUUAGAGAAUUUACAAACGUAGUUAUUACUUACUUUAUGAGUUAAUUUUUAGAAUUCAGUUAGGCUCAUUUAAUUUUAAUUCGAAAUAUCUUAUUAGAAUUUAUUCGAUUCAAUAUUUGUUGAAUCAUCCACUUAAAGUUAAUUUAGACCUAUUCAAUUUCAAUUCAAAUAAUAAGUAUUUAUAAUUAUUAAUCACUGCUAAUUAUUUAUUUUUGGAAUAUGUAUGUUUGGUUUGAAAUUUUUUAUUUUUAUUAUUUUAUAUUUUAAGAAAUAUGUGUAUAUGAAGAAAAGUGUAAAAUCAUUAUUUAGAUUAUUUAUUUUAUUAUUUUCACUUACUUUAAAUAAAUUUUUAAAAAUAAAAAAUACUAAAAAUAAAAAUAAUACACAUUUUCAAUAACCAAAAUUAAAAGAGUUAAUCUUAUAUAUUAUGUAUGCAAUUUGUCAUGAGUUUUUUUUUUUUCAAAAAUUUAAACCGAUAAACUCAGUCAAAUGAAUAAUUACCAUCCUAACACAAUUAUACAUAGAUUUUAGUACAAAGAAAAUAUAGAGAGAUGAGAGAAGGUGGAACUUUGACAACAAAAUUAAUAACUAGGUUGAUGUAUAAAUGUUAAAUAAAUAUGAGAGAUUUACAUAGAAGAAUGAACGAAAUGGAGAUGCACAAAACAACAGUAAGAAUUGAAACUCUAGGGAUGAAAAAGUACCUCAAAUAAUAGAAAGAGAUGAAGAGGUUUGACAGAUUCAGAAGAAACACCUGCACAGAGUUGGAACAAUUGGGAGUCAGUAUCAUACCUUAUAUAUCACGUAGAACACUUUGAUAUUUUUGAUUGCUUGAUUUAUAGGGUUUGAACGGUGUAGAUUUCUUUAAAUUAAGGGAAACAAAUAGAUAAACUUUUCAAGUUAAGACUAGUAGUCUACUCUUCUUAGUACUUAAUUAUAUUUUCUAAACACUAUUAUCG
rnacentral:lncRNA from 1 species